GGGGUGUGCAAUUUAAAGAUGAAGAGAGCCAGCCAUGGUUGAAGACAAAGAGUUUGUUGGAUGAAAGGCUUUUGGAUUGUCUGAUGAUGCAUCACGUGUACGUCCUCACCCAUCAGUGACUUUGGCUACACAUCAUACACCAUAUGUCGACACCACUAUCACUCUUGGUAUGGCUACAGGAUUGAGCCAAAUGCAACCAUCGACAUUGUCAUUUGAGGACUUGACUGCAACCAUUUUUUUUGUUCAUGAGAGUGGACCUCCUCGUACCACUGAGGGCAUUAUAGAGCAUGGUCG